rnacentral:rRNA from 1 species
AUUGAACGCUGGCGGCAGGCCUAACACAUGCAAGUCGAACGAGUGGCGGACGGGUGAGUAAUGCCUGGGCAACUGGCCGAUGGAGGGGGAUAACUACUGGAAACGGUAGCUAAUACCGCAUACCAUAGGAUGUGCCCAUGUGGGAUUAGAUAGUUGGUGGGGUAACGGCUCACCAAGCCGACGAUCUCUAGCUGGUCUGAGAGGAUGACCAGCCACACUGGGACUGAAACACGGCCCAGACUCCUACGGGAGGCAGCAGUGGGGAAUAUUGCACAAUGGGGGCAAGCCUGAUGCAGCCAUGCCGCGUGAAUGAAGAAGGCCUUCGGGUUGUAAAGGUCUUUCGGUAGCGAGGCGUUACCUGCAGAAGAAGCACCGGCUAACUCCGUGCCAGCAGCCGCGGUAAUAC